rnacentral:rRNA from 1 species
UACGGAGGAUGCAAGCGUUAUCCGGAUUUAUUGGGUUUAAAGGGUUCGUAGGCGGAAAAGUAAGUCAGUGGUGAAAGCCUGCAGCUCAACUGUAGAACUGCCAUUGAAACUAUUUUUCUUGAAUACAUAUGAAGUAGGCGGAAUGCGUCAUGUAGCGGUGAAAUGCACAGAUAUGACGCAGAACACCGAUAGCGAAGGCAGCUUACUAAUGUGUUAUUGACGCUGAUGAACGAAAGCGUGGGGAGCGAAC